GGCCGUGUGGCGUAAUGGCAACGCGUCUGACUACGAGGAGUGAAUCAGGAGAUUGCAGGUUCGACCCCUGUCUCGGUCA